GGCGGGGGUUUCUCCCGGGCUGGGCUGACGGCUGCGGUUGGGAACUUCGAUUUCGUACGUGAGCGGCGGGCGCGCGGCGGCCGUUUGGCCGGCAGAUCAAGAAGACAUUGGGCUGUUAUCCAGUUGUCGUAGUUGGAUCGCGUUCUACAAGCCUUCAAGACUUGCAGUGGCGUUAAAGAUGAAGAGAGGGCCUACUAAUAGAUCUCAAAGCAAAAUGAAUCAGGCAACAGCUGGGGCUGUAUUCACCAAAUAAACUUAACUGUCAAAUGUGUCUGGGAGUGUUUCAUGAACAGUGGGAGACAGAGACUCUUU
ensembl:lncRNA